rnacentral:lncRNA from 1 species
UGGGAAAGAACCGAAAAUGGCAGCCAUGGAUGAGCUCCAUUCGGCCAAGCUUCCAUGGCUUAUAUAGGUACGGUUUUUGUCCCGUUUUUGAAGAUUUUCGUAUUUUUAAGAUCCUCGAAGCUUAAAUUUUCUAUUUCUACCAAUUGAUUGAAGAGAAAUUAGAGUUUAAAAAUUUACCCAUUCAUGAUAUGGUUGUGUUUUGAUGAUUUAUAGUGGAUAAUGAAUGUUUGAUGGGUUAAAUAUGAGUUUUAUUCAAUAAAUUUCGGUAAAAAUGUCAAAAAGGGGUUAAAUUGUAAAAGUUAUAAAUUGGUCAUAAGUGUGUGAAUUAGCGAAAAUUUGGAGUUACCAUAGAAGAGAAAAAUGUUCAGCAUGUCUUAAACCUUAUAGAAAUUGAAUAAAAAAUUAUUUUACGAGCCUAGGGGUAAAAGUGUAAUUUUUGAAAAGUUAGGGGGCAUAAUUGUAAAUUUUCCAAAUUUUGAUAUAUGAAUUGAAUUGGUUAGUGUGUUGAUAAAAUGUGUUAAAUAAGUGUUAUUUGACAUGUUAGAUCAAGAAAACAUGAAAUUUUGGAUUAAGAUCAGAGAAGAACAAAGUUGUGUGCUAAGUUAGGAAAGUUAGCCGUUUCGGCAUUUGAGGUAAGUUGGUAUGAUAAUAAUACUGCAAUAAUGUUAUUGCCUUAAUAUUAAAUGAGAUGUAAGUUCAUAUGUAAGUAAUACAUCAAUUUUACUUGUAUUAUGAUAUUUUAUAAUAAUAUUGUAAAUAUGUUUGUUGAUAAUUACUUGAUUGGUGAAAUUGUUGGAAAAGAGAGAGAAAUUCCGGUUGAACCUUCGGAAAGAUUGAAUGAUACAGAUGGUACGUAGCUAGGUCACAUGUAUGGUGCUGAGUGCACAUCAUGUAUACAAGAAAGCUACGAGACAUUAUAAUGUAGCUAGGUCGCAUGGGUGAUACUAUGUGUACACCAUGUAGACAAGAGAGCUACGAGAUAUAUGUAGCUAGGUCGCAUGCGUGGUUCCAGGUGAAGAACACCAUGUAUACAAGAGAGCUGCGAGAUAAACUGGCUAGGUCACAUGGGUGGUACUAAGUGUUCACCAUGUGUACAAGAGAGCCGAACUAUAUGAUGGGUGGAGCUAUGUGCUGAAACCACCAAGUAUCGAGUAUUGAUCCGAAGUGUUCAACAGGAGACUUACUAUGUACUGCUUUGUGAGUUUUGUGAGGAAUAAGUGCAGGAACUUGGUUAUGUGAAUGAUGUGUUCAUUAAGUGACUGGGAUGUGGCAAGGUUAUAAACAAGUAAGUUCAUACGUAUUAAGUAUUAUUAUAUUGAGCAUUUAAUGCGUUGGAAUCAUAUAAAUGGAAUAUUUAUGAGUAUUUUAAUGAUUAAUGAUUUAUCGACCAAACGAACGGCACUUAGUGUGUGAAGUAUUGAGGAUGGCACUUAGUGUGCAAGACAUCCGAAAUGACACUGUGUAUGAAGUAUUGAUGAUGACACUUAGUGUGCGAAACAUCCGGUAUAGCACUUAGCGUGCAAGACAUCGAUUGUGCAGCGACAUUUCGUGUAAGUAUGAUUUUGUUAUGGAUCGGUACAGGUAUGUACAUGUAUGUAUGAGCUUGUUAAUAAGCAUUAUUAUAAUUGAGAUUUAAUGCUGUAUAAUUGAAUUGUUGAUGAUUAUGAUUGUACGGAAGUAUUUUAUGAAAAUUUGGCAUUGGAAAUUCCUGUUGAACCUUAGGAAUAAAUUAGGAUACAAAGGGCAUGUCAUUAAAGUUACAUUGAUUUGGCUUCGGGCCAUGAUAUUGGCACUUAGUGUGCGAGAUUCCCGAGUAUCCAAUUUCUAUUCCAAAUAGUUCAACGGGUAUAUCGAAAAUAUGAAUGAGUAAUUUAGCCUUGACAGAUUUGAGUUACUGCAGUAGUGUAACUUUGAAAAUACACUAAAAAUAGUGGAAAUUGAGUUAGAGGCAGAAUAAAAUAUGGGAUUAAAGCUUAAUGAGUCUAUAUUCACAUGAAAGAAACAGAAGAAGAAAAAGAAUUCCAUAUUGUGUGAUAUUUGAAUUCUUGUGAAACAGGGUCUUAAUGAAUUCGAGAUCCCCUAUUCUGACUUUAGAAAUUCACCAAAACUUUUACAAAAAUUAUUAAGAGUCAUACCUUACAUGCAUGGAUUCCUUAUUGAGUCUAUUUUUAGGGGAAAUAAACGGCAUGGUCGUUGGAAUUCUGUACAGGAAUAAAUUCGGUUCGUAGUGCACAGGGGUCAUAGUGGUCAUACCCUGAAACAGGGGAGGCUUUAACUAAUAAACUAUACUAAUUGGCCCAACCAAAAAUUAUAGAAAACAAUUAAUAAGUAUAAAUAUGAGUCUAGUUUCAAGAGAAAUAGACGAAAACAUUAUUCGAGUCUUGUACUAUGAGAUAAUUGAACUUUAGUACAGAAGGGUCGGAACUGUCAGACAAUGAAUCAAGGGUAACUUUGAGGAAUAAACUGUACUAUUUGGCUUAACCAAAAAUUCUGGAAAUUUUAUGGAAGAAAGGAAAAUAAGUCUAGUUUCAUGGAAAAUUAACGGAAAUUAAUUCGGAGUUUCGUAGCUCCAGAUAUAAAUAAUUUAGUGACUAUGAUUCAGGAAAACAGCCUUAGCUGAUCUUGUGUAAAAAGAUGAAAUCAUGUGAUUAAUGAUUCUAUUUUUUUGAGCAUAUUUAUUAAGGAAUGGGAUAAUAUUGUUAAUUAAAUUGCUUAUUAUUAUUAAUAUUCCAACUUACUAAGCUUUUAAGCUUACACCAUUUUCCCAUUUCUCUUAGUGUUGUCAGGUUGGCUCGGGGUUGGAGAUCGUCGGAAGUAUCAUCACACUAUUAGUUUAUCAAAUUAGAAUAAUGAUAAUUCUUAUUUAUUGUCAAAUAAGUGGCAUGUAUAGAUAAUAAGUUAUUGAUAUUAGGUAAUAUUAUGAUUUAGCCAAAUGUAUAGGCUCAUUUUGCUUCAUUGUAUAUAGCCAUAAGAUUUGGCUCAUAAUGGUUAAAGUUAUGUAAACCUAUUUUAUGUAUGCAUAGAUAAAUAUCUUGGUGUGGCUAAGUUAAGAACACAAAAAGGGCUUGGAAAAUAGCAUAUGAUACACAUGGGCUUGAGACACGGCCGUGUGUCUCAACAGUGUGAAGAACACGGCCACCACACAGGUGUAUGGUCUAGCCGUGUAAGCAAGUCAGUAGCUAGCUAAUUUUUACACGGGGUCUAGACACGGGCGUGUGACCCUGCUUUGGUAAAAAAAAAUUACUAAGUGUCUGAAAGAUUUCGGUUUGUUUCCAAACCAAUUUCAAUGAUUGUUUUGGGCCUCGUAGGCCCUUAUAAGGGACAAAUUAUAUAUGUUUGAAAAGUUUAAAAUUUGAUGAAAUUUUAUGUCUUAGUUUUAAAUGAUUACAAGUACUUAAGUCCAGUAAUACCUCGUACCCUGUUCCGGCAUCAGAUACGAGUAAGGGGUGUUACAUUUAGUGGUAUCAGAGCCAGGUUUAGUUUAGUCGAUUCUCGGACUAACAUAGCAAGUGUGAGAGUCUAGUUAUACAUGCCACAAAUAUGUGAUAGUGUUAUGUCUCCUGACGCUAAUGAGGACCAUUUUGUUUAAAAUGAAGUAUUCUCCAACCGAGCUGCAUCUGAUCAUUUGAUAGCGAUAUUAAAGUAUUUGAAUAAAGUGUAGCUAUGAUGUGUUAAACUCGAAAAGGUAUGAAUAAGAGUUAGUGAUAUAUGUAUAUGUGAUAAUAUGUGAGAUGGAAGUUUAUAUAGUGAUAUAUUAAUUCAUAUUUGUUUAGCCUUCAUAUGUUGUUGCAUGCUUGACUAAAUUGAUUAGUAAAUGUGAUUACUAAAGUUAUUCAAAAUUCAUAGAAUGUAUGAGUGAGUGCACUUGUUUGAAAUGAGAUAAUUGGGAAUUUUGUGUAAGACAGAUAUGAAUAAUAAAUUGUUUGAAGUGGAUAGUAUAAUUAUAAUGACAUAUGUGGAUAAUGAAAAAUGUGUCAUAUAGAUAUAUGUGAGAAUCGAGUUAAAGGCUGUACGACAUCACCCCCUUACUGAUGAGGUGGUUAUAACGAAAAUUCACGAGAAUCAUGUUGAUUAAGUUCCUAAGUGUGGAAUCAAAGAGUUCAGUGAUAAAUUAAUUAUAGAUAUGACCAGAGGCUGAGAAUGGUUGACAAGUGAAUGACAGAGUUAGAGAAAUAUCAGAGUUGACUGAGUUAUCUUGGGAUUCAAAUUGAUGACCGAGUGUUUCUGGAAGUAUCGCCUUGAAAACAAUUAGUUAGUGAUGCUGGAAAUUAUGAGAAAGAUACUAAACCUCACUCCGGUAAGAUUUUCGAGGACGAAAAUCUCCAAAGGGGGGAGAGUUGUAACAGCCCAAAAUUAGGUCUAGUCGGAAUAGUGGUUUCGGGACCACAAACCCGACGAGAAAAAAAUUUUAUUUUUAUUAUAUUUUUAUAGUCUAUAAAUUUAUGAAAAUAUUUUGUAAAAAUUUCAUUCGAAAAUUUUGACGUUUGGGCACUUAAUUUAGUCAAAAGGACUAAAUUGUAAAAAGUGCAAAAGUUGAGUUCUUUAUAUAUGAGGUGCCUAAUUGUUAUGAGUUUUAAAUUGAAAGUCCUUAUGUGAUAAUUAUUCCUUUAAUAAGUUAGUGAAUGGAUAUUUUUUUGGUAUUUUUGAAAUUUGGUUGAAAUAAAAAGGGUAAUUUUGUAAAUUAAUUAAAAUAACCUAAUAAGACAAAAAUGAUAAAAGCUAUCAUUUUUUUUUUCCAUUCUUUCUUCUUCAACCGUGGGAAAGAACCGAAAAUGGCAGCCAUGGAUGAGCUCCAUUCGGCCAAGCUUCUAUGGCUUAAAUAGGUACGGUUUUUGUCCCGUUUUUAAAGAUUUUCGUAUUUUUAAGAUCCUCGAAGCUUAAAUUUUCUAUUUCUACCAAUUGAUUGAAGAGAAAUUAGAGUUUAAAAAUUUACCCAUUCAUGAUAUGGUUGUGUUUUGAUGAUUUAUAGUGGAUAAUGAAUGUUUGAUGUGUUAAAUAUGAGUUUUAUUCAAUGAAUUUCGGUAAAAAUGUCAAAAAGGGGUUAAAUUGUAAAAGUUAUAAAUUGGUCAUAAGUGUGUGAAUUAGUGAAAAUUUGCAGUUGCCAUAGAAGAGAAAAAUGUUCAGCAUGUCUUAAACCUUAUAGAAAUUGAAUAAAAAAUUAUUUUACGAGCCUAGGGGUAAAAGUGUAAUUUUUGAAAAGUUAGGGGCAUAAUUGUAAAUUUUCCAAAUUUUGAUAUAUGAAUUGAAUUGGUUAGUGUGUUGAUAAAAUGUGUUAAAUAAGUGUUAUUUGACAUGUUAGAUCAAGAAAACUUGAAAUUUUGGAUUAAGAUCAGAGAAGAACAAAGUUGUGUGCUAAGUUAGGAAAGUUAGCCGUUUCGGCAUCUGAGGUAAGUUGGUAUGAUAAUAAUACUGCAAUAAUGUUAUUGCCUUGAUAUUAAACGAGAUGUAAGUUCAUAUGUAAGUAAUACAUCAAUUUUACUUGUAUUAUGAUAUUUUAUAAUAAUAUUGUAAAUAUGUUUGUUGAUAAUUACUUGAUUGGUGAAAUUGUUGGAAAAGAGAGAGAAAUCCCGGUUGAACCUUCAGAAAGAUUGAAUGAUACAGAUGGUACGUAGCUAGGUCAUAUGUAUGGUGUUAACUGCACAUCAUGUGUACAAGAAAGCUACGAGACAUUAUAAUGUAGCUAGGUCGCAUGGGUGAUACUAUGUGUACACCAUGUAGACAAGAGAGCUACGAGAUAUAUGUAGCUAGGUCGCAUGCGUGGUUCCAGGUGAAGGACACCAUGUAGACAAGAGAGCUACGAGAUAAACUGGCUAGGUCACAUGGGUGGUACUAAGUGUUCACCAUGUGUACAAGCGAGCCGAACUAUAUGAUGGGUGGAGCUAUGUGCUGAAACCACCAAGUAUCGAGUAUUGAUCCGAAGUGUUCAACAGGAGACUUACUAUGUACUGCUUUGUGAGUUUUGUGAGGAAUAAGUGCAGGAACUUAGUUAUGUGAAUGAUGUGUUCAUUAAGUGACUGGGAUGUGGCAAGGUUAUAAACAAGUAAGUUCGUACAUAUUAAGUAUUAUUAUAUUGAGCAUUUGAUGCGUUGGAAUCAUAUAAAUGGAAUAUUUAUGAGUAUUUUAAUGAUUAAUGAUUUAUCGACCAAACGAACGGCACUUAGUGUGCGAAGUAUUGAGGAUGGCACUUAGUGUGCAAGACAUCCGAAAUGACACAGUGUAUGAAGUAUUGAUGAUGACACCUAGUGUGCGAAACAUCCGGUAUAGCACUUAGCGUGCAAGACAUCGAUUGUGCAGCGACAUUUCGUGUAAGUAUGAUUUUGUUAUGGAUCGGUACAGGUAUGUACAUGUAUGUAUGAGCUUGUUAAUAAGCAUUAUUAUAAUUGAGAUUUAAUGCUGUAUAAUUGAAUUGUUGAUGAUUAUGAUUGUACGGAAGUAUUUUAUGAAAAUUUGGCAUUGGAAAUUCCUGUUGAACCUUAGGAAUAAAUUAGGAUACAAAGGGCAUGUCAUUAAAGUUACAUUGAUUUGGCUUCGGGCCAUGAUAUUGGCACUUAGUGUGCGAGAUUCCCGAGUAUCCAAUUUCUAUUCCAAAUAGUUCAACGGGUAUAUCGAAAAUAUGAAUGAGUAAUUUAGCCUCGACAGAUUUGAGUUACUGCAGUAGUGUAACUUUGAAAAUACACUAAAAAUAGUGGAAAUUGAGUUAGAGGCAGAAUAAAAUAUGGGAUUAAAGCUUAACGAGUCUAUAUUCACAUGAAAGAAACAGAAGAAGAAAAAGAAUUCCAUAUUGUGUGAUAUUUGAAUUCUUGUGAAAUAGGGUCUGAAUGAAUUCGAGAUCCCCUAUUCUGACUUUAGAAAUUCACCAAAAAUUGUACAAAAAUUAUUAACGAGUCUAUUUUUAGGGGAAAUAAACGUCAUGGUUGUUGGAAUUCUGUACAGGAAUAAAUUCGGUUCGUAGUGCACAGGGGUCAGAGUGGUCAUACCCUGAAACAUGGGAGACUUUAACUAAUAAACUGUACUAAUUUGCCCAACCAAAAAUUCUAGAAAAAAAUUAGUAAGUAGAAAUAUGAGUCUAUUUUAAGAGAAAUAGACGAAAACAUUAUUCGAGUCUUGUACUAUGAGAUAAUUGAACUUUAGUACAGAAGGGUCGGAACUGUCAGACAAUGAAUCAAGGGUAACUUUGAGGAAUAAACUGUACUAUUUGGCUUAACCAAAAAUUCUGGAAAUUUUAUGGAAGAAAGGAAAAUAAGUCUAGUUUCAUGGAAAAUUAACGGAAAUUAAUUCGGAGUUUCGUAGCUCCAGAUAUAAAUAAUUUAGUGACUAUGAUUCAGGAAAACAGCCUUAGCUGAUCUUGUGUAAAAAGAUGAAAUCAUGUGAUUAAUGAUUCUAUUUUCUUGAGCAUAUUUAUUGAGGAAUGGGAUAAUAUUGUUAAUUAAAUUGCUUAUUAUUAUUAAUAUUCCAACUUACUAAGCUUUUAAGCUUACACCAUUUUCCCAUUUCUCUUCGUGUUGUCAGGUUGGCUCGGGGUUGGAGAUCGUCGGAAGUAUCAUCACACUAUUAGUUUAUCAAAUUAGAAUAAUGGUAAUUCUUAUUUAUUGUCAAAUAAGUGGCAUGUAUAGAUAAUAAGUUAUUGAUAUUAGGUAAUAUUAUGAUUUAGCCAAAUGUAUAGGCUCAUUUUGCUUCAUUGUAUAUAGCCAUAAGAUUUGGCUCAUAAUGGUUAAAGUUAUGUAAACCUAUUUUAUGUAUGCAUAGAUAAAUAUCUUGGUGUGGCUAAGUUAAGAACACAAAAAGGGCUUGGAAAAUAGCAUACGAUACACAUGGGCUUGAGACACGGCCGUAUGUCUCAGCAGUGUGAAGAACAAGGCCACCACACGGGUGUGUGGUCUAGCCGUAUAAGCAAGUCAGUAGCUAGCUAAUUUUUACACGGGAUCUAGACACGGGCGUGUGACCC